rnacentral:rRNA from 1 species
GACGUAGGGUGCGAGCGUUGUCCGGAAUUACUGGGCGUAAAGCGCACGUAGGCGGCUUUCUAAGUCGGGGGUGAAAUCCUGGAGCUCAACUCCAGAACUGCCUUCGAUACUGGAAAGCUCGAGUCCGGGAGAGGUGAGUGGAACUGCGAGUGUAGAGGUGAAAUUCGUAGAUAUUCGCAAGAACACCAGUGGCGAAGGCGGCUCACUGGCCCGGUACUGACGCUGAGGUGCGAAAGCGUGGGGAGCAAACAGG